AAUGCACCUGGGCAAGGAUUCCGAG
rnacentral:miRNA from 1 species